GAUGAACGCUGGCGGCGUGCCUAAUACAUGCAAGUCGAGCGAACAGACGAGGAGCUUGCUCCUCUGACGUUAGCGGCGGACGGGUGAGUAACACGUGGAUAACCUACCUAUAAGACUGGGAUAACUUCGGGAAACCGGAGCUAAUACCGGAUAAUAUAUUUAACCGCAUGGUUCAAUAGUGAAAGACGGUUUUGCUGUCACUUAUAGAUGGAACCGCGCCGCAUUAGCUAGUUGGUAAGGUAACGGCUUACCAAGGCAACGAUGCGUAGCCGACCUGAGAGGGUGAUCGGCCACACUGGAACUGAGACACGGUCCAGACUCCUACGGGAGGCAGCAGUAGGGAAUCUUCCGCAAUGGGCGAAAGCCUGACGGAGCAACGCCGCGUGAGUGAUGAAGGUCUUCGGAUCGUAAAACUCUGUUAUUAGGGAAGAACAAAUGUGUAAGUAACUAUGCACGUCUUGACGGUACCUAAUCAGAAAGCCACGGCUAACUACGUG
rnacentral:rRNA from 1 species